CUCGCUCUCUCUCAUUCUUUUUCUCUCUCUCUCUAUCACUCACUCUCUCUUUCUUUCUGUCCCCCCCCCUCUCUCUUUUGCUUUCUCGCUCUCUCUCUCUCUUUCUGUCUCUCUCUCUCUCUCUCUUACUCUCUCGCAGUCUCAGUAUAGUCGGUUGACUGAUUGAUAAAUCAAAACAUUUGCUAAAUUUAACUUUGCAAAUCUGCAAAAAGUUGAGUUAGGAAAUGUGUGUGUAACCUACAGCAUGUAUGUGACAACUCCUAGUGUCCACAUAUCUGUAGGGAAGGAAACAAAGUCAAAGUUGACCACCUCUGGUGCCAGGAACUCAGGUGUCCCGAAUGAAACUCGGAGCUUCUCUCGUGGUUUGUACCUACAGGAGGAAAGAGCCGAUGCUUAUGAGGAUGAAAGAAAAUCUGAUCUGAAGCAGCUGCAGUCAUUAUGCCCAAAGUCGAUGAUCUUGAUCUGAUGGCUGGACCGAUUCACACAAAGGAUGUUCUCUGGCUGAAAGCGAAGCAGCUCGUCGAGGUGAAGGACGUACAUCUGGUGCAUGUAAUGGACCCCCUCGCAUAUCUGCUUCACAAACACCAUGGCGUCCACCUCGGUCAGGGGGCAGCUCUCAUCCACAAUCCUCUCAAACAGCUCCCCUCCUUCCACACUGCAGGUUAAUACUCACUACUCCAGAACCAGCACUACUUGAUUUUUGGUCUCGAAGGCAUCAAACAGCUGAAGGAUGUUGGCAUGACUCAGUUGGUUCAUUACUUCGAUCUCAUUCAGCACCAUUUCCUGCCAAACACGGAAAGAUCCACAGUUCACUUCCGCUCACCUUGACAGUUGUACUGAAAGGAAGUCUGUGAAGUAAAGGAAUCAGCACUCACCUUCUCUUUGGCACAUCUGGUACUGAUGAUCUUCGCUGCCAGUCUAAGCCCGUUUUUAAUCUCUGUGCAUUUGUGCACUUUGCCAAACCGACCACUAAAAUAUGAGAAAAGUCAUUUCAUUCCUGCGUUUAUUUGUACUCAUGAAUGCACGGCCAUCGUUGUCCUUUAAUCGUGUUGUUAUAAACCAGGAAAAAAUCACACUAGAAGAUGUCGAGACGAUUCCUGUUCAUAUGAUUGAUUUUUUGUUUAAAUGUAAUAUAUCUUACAGCAUAGUUUAGAAGUUAGAAUAAAUUCUGAGCUCACCCUCCCAGCACCUCUCGAGUGUGGAUGCUGAAGUCAGACGGUGGGCUCGUCUUUAGAGACACACACCGAUGUGAGAAAGGUGCAGGCUGUGGAGGAACAUCAUCUACAGUAUGUAGAGCAGGAGAAUAAAUUGUUUGGAUUAUUUAUUAUUCAUCCCAUUUAUUAAUAAUUAUCUCAGAGUCUCUGCAAUUCUUACAAACUGUGUUUUGUACAUCGACCACAGAUUUAGGGCUGUGUGAUGAUAAAAGCUACAAAUUGUGAAAGAA